rnacentral:rRNA from 1 species
UACGUAGGUGGCAAGCGUUGUCCGGAAUUAUUGGGCGUAAAGCGCGCGCAGGCGGUCCUUUAAGUCUGAUGUGAAAGCCCACGGCUCAACCGUGGAGGGUCAUUGGAAACUGGGGGACUUGAGUGCAGAAGAGGAAAGCGGAAUUCCACGUGUAGCGGUGAAAUGCGUAGAAGAUGUGGAGGAACACCAGUGGCGAAGGCGGCUUUCUGGUCUGUAACUGACGCUGAGGCGCGAAAGCGUGGGGAGCAAACAGG